rnacentral:rRNA from 1 species
AUUGAACGCUGGCGGCAGGCCUAACACAUGCAAGUCGAGCGGAUGAGAGGAGCUUGCUUCUCGAUUCAGCGGCGGACGGGUGAGUAAUGCCUAGGAAUCUGCCUGGUAGUGGGGGACAACGUUUCGAAAGGAACGCUAAUACCGCAUACGUCCUACGGGAGAAAGCAGGGGACCUUCGGGCCUUGCGCUAUCAGAUGAGCCUAGGUCGGAUUAGCUAGUUGGUGAGGUAAUGGCUCACCAAGGCGACGAUCCGUAACUGGUCUGAGAGGAUGGUCAGGCACAAUGGAACUGAGACACGGUCCAGACUCCUACGGGAGGCAGCAGUGGGGAAUAUUGGACAAUGGGCGAAAGCCUGAUCCAGACAUGCCGCGUGUGUGAAGAAGGUCUUCGGAUUGUAAAGCACUUUAAGUUGGGAGGAAGGGUUGUAGAUUAAUACUCUGCAAUUUUGACGUUACCGACAGAAUAAGCACCGGCUAACUCUGUGCCAGCCGCCGCCGUAACAC